rnacentral:lncRNA from 1 species
UAUGCUGGCCUUCUAGCAACACAGGACGACAGCCAGCACAGACUCGGACAAUUUAUGAAAACCAAAUAUACAGUCUUAAAAUAGAAUGUGGGCCUAAAUACCUGGAAUCACCCCCGUGGUAAGAUUUGUAACAAAUUAAUGUGAACGGAGUUAAUAAUUUGAAUGGAGCAGUGGACCCAAGAGCCAUAUUGGUGCUGACAAAAUGGCAGCAUUUAUUGUAUAAAGCUUCAACGUGGUCCUGCAAGAGCUCUGGCACCUAAUGACAUCUAGAGAAAAUGUGAAAGUCCCUCAGCUGCCUGAAGGACAGUGUUAUGGCAACUAAUCCAAAAGAAGAGCUACAGGUC